rnacentral:tRNA from 1 species
UCCCUGGUGGCUCAGAGGUUAAAGCGUCUGCCUGCAAUGCAGGAAACCCAGGUUCAAUCCCUGGGUCGGGAA